rnacentral:rRNA from 1 species
GACGAACGCUGGCGGCGUGCCUAACACAUGCAAGUCGAGCGGGGGUUUGAGUGGCAGUUCUGCGGCAUGGAGCUUAAAAUUCUAGCGGCGGACGGGUGAGUAACGCGUGAACAAUCUGUCCCGGACAGGGGGAUAACACUUGGAAACAGGUGCUAAUACCGCAUAAGACCACGGCUUCGCAUGGGGCUGAGGUGAAAGGAGCAAUCCGGUUCGGGGUGAGGUCGGGUCCGAUUAGCUAAUGGGUGAGGUAACGGCCCACCAAGGCGACGAGCGGUAGCCGGCCUGAGCGGGUGAACGGCCACAUUGGAACUGGGAGGCAGUCGAGGCUCCUACGGGAGGCAGCGGUGGGGAAUAUUGGGCAAUGGGCGAAAGUGUGACCAAGGCACGCCGCGUGAGGAAAGAAGGUUUUCGGAUUGAAAACCUCUGUCCUAUGGGACGAAGGAAGUGACGGUACCAGAGGAGGAAGCCCCGGCUAACUACGUG